rnacentral:snRNA from 1 species
AGCUUUGCACAGUGGCAGUAUCAUAGCCAGUGAGGUUUAUCCAAGACGCGAUUAUUGCUAAUUAAAUAU